GACCUCUUAGCUCAGAUGGUAGAGUGUGUGCAUACAAAGCGUAGGGUGCGUCGAUGCAAGGGUUCGAAUCCCAUUGAGGCUA
rnacentral:tRNA from 1 species